rnacentral:rRNA from 1 species
AUUGAACGCUGGCGGCAUGCCUUACACAUGCAAGUCGAACGGUAACAGGUCUUCGGACGCUGACGAGUGGCGAACGGGUGAGUAAUACAUCGGAACGUGCCCAGUCGUGGGGGAUAACUACUCGAAAGAGUAGCUAAUACCGCAUACGACCUGAGGAUGAAAGCGGGGGACCUUCGGGCCUCGCGCGACUGGAGCGGCCGAGGGCAGAUUAGGUAGUUGGUGGGAUAAAAGCUUACCAAGCCGACGAUCUGUAGCUGGUCUGAGAGGACGACCAGCCACACUGGGACUGAGACACGGCCCAGACUCCUACGGGAGGCAGCAGUGGGGAAUUUUGGACAAUGGGCGAAAGCCUGAUCCAGCAAUGCCGCGUGCAGGAUGAAGGCCUUCGGGUUGUAAACUGCUUUUGUACGGAACGAAAAAGUCUCCUCUAAUACGGGAGGCCCAUGACGGUACCGUAAGAAUAAGCACCGGCUAACUACGUGCCAGCCGCCGCCGUAA